CACACACAGAGCACCCCUCACACACACACAGACACACACACAACACCCCUCUCACACACAGCGAUGGGGUGAGAGGGGUGCUGUGUGUGUGUGUGUGUGAGGGGUGCUGUAUGUGUGUGAA